UACGUAGGGUGCAAGCGUUGUCCGGAAUUAUUGGGCGUAAAGAGCUCGUAGGCGGUCUGUCGCGUCGGUUGUGAAAACCCGGAGCUCAACUCCGGGCCUGCAGUCGAUACGGGCAGACUGGAGUUCGGCAGGGGAGACUGGAAUUCCUGGUGUAGCGGUGAAAUGCGCAGAUAUCAGGAGGAACACCGGUGGCGAAGGCGGUUCUCUGGGCAUUACCUGACGCUGAGGAGCGAAAGUGUGGGGAGCGAACAGG
rnacentral:rRNA from 1 species